rnacentral:rRNA from 1 species
CUACGGGGCGCUGCAGGCGCGAAACCUUUACAAUGCACGAAAGUGUGAUAAGGGAACCCUGAGUGCUAAUGUCUAACAUUAGCUUUUUUCAAGAGUAAAUAUCUUGGAGAAUAAGCGGUGGGUAAGACUGGUGCCAGCCGCCGCGGUAACACCAGCGCCGCUAGUGGGGAUCGUUAUUAUUGGGCUUAAAGCGUCCGUAGCUGGUUUGAUAAAUCUCUUGUGAAAUUGUUAAUCUCAACUUAACAAAUUGCAGGAGAAACUGUUAAACUUGAGACCGGGAGGAGUCAGAAGUAUUUUAUGGGGAGCGGUAAAAUGCUAUAAUCCAUGAAAGACUACCUAUGGCGAAGGCAUCUGACUAGAACGGGUCUGACAGUGAGGGACGAAAGCUAGGGGAGCAAACCGGAUUAGAUACCCGAGUAGUC